CACAGAGAUCAGGCCAGUGACAAAAUCAGGAGCUAGGCCCUUGGGACUUUGCCAGCCACCUCUCAUAGCCCCGAGAGGCCCCUAGUUGGGGCCAUGGGGGGAGCAUUUCCUGCACAGGCUGGAGGGUGGACACCUCGGGCCACUGCAGUGCCUCAGCUCUGCCCUUUUGGUGGCAAAGUAGCCACAGGCCAUGUAGACACAGGUGGACUAGCUGUGUGCCAAUAAAACUUUAUUAGAACUCCAGGUGCCGGCUGAUUGGCCUGAGGGCCACGUGGGCCUCUACUGUGGGACAGUGGGAGCCCAGACAGGGAGACUGGCUGCAGGGUCCUGAGCAAUCCAGAGGGGAUCUGGUGGGGACUGGCUGGCGUGGCGGAGAGGAGGUACAGUUGGCCCCUGGGGGUGGAUCCAGAGGGCAGCUGGGCCAGGAACCCCCUCUCCACAGGGAGUCCCGGGGUGCGCUGAAGGUUUUCCUCUGGGGGCUGCUGUGGGGAUCCUGCGUGUCAGGUGCGUGGGCUCUGCUCGGUCUCUGUGGGGACAAGGACUGAGUCCAAGUCCAGCUGCGGAGGAGUGACGAGGUCAGGACUGGACCUCUGUAAAUCCGGCUCAGGUGUCCUGCUGCCUCCCCCUGACUCACCCAGGGAGGGCUCCCCACUGCCCAGUGCCACUGGACGCUCCCACGUCCCUUGAGAAUCCUGGCUGGGGCGGAGCCUUCUGGAACCCCUUAGGAGGGAGACUCCUCACCUGCCACGUCUCCCCUCUCUCUCUAGGUGGUCCCCCAUGUUAAAACUUGUGCAUUAGCAGUGACAAGUGUCUGGGGUCAGACCUCUGAGCCCACUACCUGCUGGGAGUGUGGCCCUGGGCACAGCACGUUGUCUCUGAGCCUCACAGAAGGUCCUGUCCCUUGGGUGGGGAAGGUCCUGUCCCUUGGGUGGGGGGUUUUGUGCACCAGCACCGGCCCCUGGGGCAGGGUGGCGCCAAACCACACCUUCUUACUGAUGCGGUCCCGGGGGUCCAGCCCCUGGCUGACCGCACACCUGCUGUCUUAGAUUUUUAUUGGACCUUCCUCUGACUUGAACAUCUUAGAUGUGACCAAUCAGGUGUCGUUUUUAUUGCCAACUCUCAAUUCAGCUUUGUUUCCCAGGUUUGGGGCCGUGGGAGAAUCUGCUCGGAGGUUUCCCGGGGCCUGGUCUUUUGCUGCCCGCUGCAGCCCUCAGCCCCUGGGGGGCACCUGUGGGUUGACAGAAUGAACCUGAGCCCCUCCCCAUGGGCAGCAGGUGGGCUCCUGACUGGUACAUUCUGUUUUCCCCAGUUCCAGGGCCAGUGCCUGGCACACAGUAGGUGCUCAAUAACUGGAGGAUGAACCCUCUGUGCGCCUCUGCAGAGCCUUUCUGCCAAAGGAGGACCCAGCCUCUACCUCCACAGGCCCCAGGAGGACCCAGCCUCUACCUCCACAGGCCCGAGGAGGACCCAGCAGAGACCCUGCUCAGAAACAAAACAAAACAAACAAAAAAACACCCCGGGAUCAAUCCCAAGCAUCACACACACAAAAAGUCCACCUCAUGGGGCAGUUUAAAUGCAAUGCAUGCAAGGUUCUCGGAAUAGCAUUGAGAACUGUAAAGUCCUUUAUAAAACUUUCCAACAAUAGGUUAUCCUGUCUAAUAAUAAAAAUAAUAAUAAUAAAAUACUACUACUAAUAAAUACAGAUUCUCUCUUGAGGUGCACCAGGGAUUGAGCCCAGGGGGUGCUUGACCCUGGACCCACAUCUCCAGAACUUUCUAUUUUUUAUUUAGAGAGAGGGUCUCACUAAGUUGCUUGGGGUCUUGCUAAGCUGCUAGGCUGGCCUUGGACUUGAGAUCCUGCUGCCUCAGCCUCCCAAGCUGCUGAGAUUGCAGGCGUGCACCGCUGUGCCCGGCAAACACAGAUUCUUUAGUCUUCUUUGAAUAACAGCGGCACGCCCCUCCAACAGUGGGAGGGGCUGAAAGUGGACCCCGCUCCAUCAUUCAUUGGGUGGAGGGACUGUCUGUCAAAUCCGCUCCACCAAUGACUGAGAGCCACAACUUCCUUUUUUUAUUUCAUUUUUUAGUUGUAGGUGGACUCCUACCUUUAUGUGGGAGGCCAACCUUACCUUACAGGUGACUGAGUCACACUCCCCAGCUGGGUGCUGAGGCGCUCAGUCACCCGUAAGGUUGGCCUCCCACACCUUUAUUCUAUUUCUUUAUUCUUAUGUGGUGCGAGGUUUGGGCCCCGAGGUCUGAACACGUGCUAGGCGAAGGCUUUUCCCCCAGGCUGCAAGCCCAGCCUCCUUCUUCUCUUUCUCGUUCUGUGCUCUGCCCCUGACUGACCUCCCCAGCUCUUUUUAUUUAUUUUUUUUUAUUUUGAGACUGGAUCCCGCUAAGCUGCCCCGGCUGGCCUGGUGCUCCUGCCCCAGCCUCCCCUAUGGCUGGAUUUCCAGUGUGCACCCAGCCCCAGGACAGCCACCCUCUGGACAGGAAGUGGAGGCUCGGCAGGAAGUGGAGGCUCAGCAGGAAGUGGAGGCUCGGCAGCAAGUGGAGGCUCCGCAGGAAGGAGAAGAGCUUCCAUUUCUGCAGGAGGGAGCAGACCUGGGGCUGGGGCUGUCUUCAGACCAGGAUCAGAGACAGGGAACCCCUUAGCGCUGGGCGCGGGGCGAGUGGUCGGGUGUUCCCUGAGCAGGUGAGGGUCCUGGUCUGAUCCUGAGCAUCCCAGACAGCACCACCCAGAGCUUCCCCGCAGGCUGAGUCCGACAAAUACAGCAAGAUUGGUGUGUGGGGGGGACAGGGCCAGAUGUCCUGGUAGUGGGCCCGGGGCGUACAGCUGUGCUCUCUUUAGCUUUGUAUUCUGGCUGGAGGCUUCUCCUCAGCUCUCUGGUGAGCAUGGCUUCCCCAAAGCCACCAUCUGGCUCUACCAGGGAGAUCAGCUGAAUGCAGACACAGGGAACUAGACCCCCGAGGAUUGUCUGAGCGCCCGAGUCCAGCCGUGCUUGAAGCCAGCUCUACCCCUGAACUCUUGAGAUGUGUGAACCAAUGGAUGCACUGUUUUUUGUGUAACUGAUUCCCAUCAGUUUUAUGUCCCUAUGCAACAGAAAGGGACUUGGCCAGUGCCAUCUGCCAAAUAAUCAAGCCAGAGUGGGCGCUGGCUGUGUUUCAACGUCCAAGACAAUUAGUUAGAAGCUUCAAAGGAAAAGGAAAUCAAGGGGCUGAUGGUGGAGUGAGAUGCGUGGCCCUGGAGGAGCAGGACCAGGAGGAGCAGGAAUCCUGGAACUGAGGUCCCCACCUCAAUCCAGGGGCGAGGCUGGGCCCAGGCGGGGAGGAGCCGCAGAGCCGAGUGGCAGCUGCAGCGGCAGAGACAUUAAUCAAGGCUUGGGACUGAGUGGCCUGCGUUUUCUUGGAGGGAGAAAUGCAGCGGCUCAGGUUUGAUAGAUGAGAACGGCUUGAAUCCUAGGGACCCUGAUUGUCAGGAGUGCUUUGCUUUAGUUGCUGAAAAGAUGGAGAAAAAGAGACGCUAAGGAAACCAACAGGUUCUGUUUUCCAGUUGGCUCCUGUGCCAGCAGCAGCUGACCUGCUUGUUUCUUCAUACGUGGUAUUCGCUCCUUCCAACCAGGGACACCACAUACAGCUGUCUGUGUUCAGUACUGUGCAAUUCCAGGGCAAGCCAUCUGCAGCAAAAUGUAGUUGCACGCAGCAUAAUGUAGUUGCACGGCGCUCCUGAGAACUGCGCACUGCAUAACCUUUGCAGCACUAGGGGUCAGUCCUGUGCCCAACUGCAAGUUAAGUGGUGUUAUAUUUCCAUUUUUUUUUCAAUAGAUGAGGGAAUAGGCACAGAGAGGGUAGGUGACUCUUCCAGGAUCACACAGUUGUGGAUGGAAGAACUCAAAGUUGCACCCAGAUGAAUCAGGUUAAUUCAUUCUCCUUUUUACUACUCAGCUGCCUGUGAAGUUGUGGCCCUGUGACAUUGAUCUUAAUGCUCCCAGUUCUUAGCACAGAGCCAGUCUCCGAUGAGCAUUUGGCUGAACUGGAAACGAGUGUGGUCGGGCGCCAUGAGGACCUGGUCCAGGCGGCUGGACACAGGAGAAGGACGUGGACAGGAAUCCGGACCUUCUAGUCCUGGUUGGGAUAAAUCCGGCCACGUGCCUAGAAGUGGGUGGAAAGGGAGAAUUUCUGCAGACCUCGCCCCCCCCCUGGGGAAGGUCCCCAGCUGCCCGGCCACCUGACACAGUGCAGGGCUGGGCCUGUCCAGCGGGAGCCUGGCAGACCUUUGCCGACGGAGGCUUUCCUGAGGUCCUGAGCUGGGGUCCAGGAAUGGCCACUUCCCCCGGGGACAGAAGAGUCCGUGUGUCCACAGGGGAUUGUUCCGGGACCCUCCCAGGACACGUGGACGCACAGAUGCCCGAGGCCCCUGCGUACAGGUGUGACGUUUGCACAGAACCUUCGCACCUCCUCCUUACGCCGCCACCGUAGACGACCGAGGCACCGCGCUGACAGUGGAACUGUGCUGUCUCGGGGUCCAUGACGCAGGGAGGUGUUCAGUGUGGACACAGCUAAAGCAGAUCUCAGCCUGUGGUGGGUGGAACCGGCCGAUACAGAGGAGCAGCUGGGGGAGACUCCGGAGGGAUUUGCUGACUUUUCCUGGAAUCGGCCCUCAGAGGGGACCACGUUUGACCUCUACGCGGCUUUGAGCAAAUUGGAAUUAAAAGCAAAGUCUCAAAGUGGGAAGAGUUUUCACAAAGAUUCCUGAUCCCUUAAGAAGCAGAAGGUGGACAGCGCCAGGUGAAGUGAGUGUCCACCCUAGACCAGCGUGGAUGCUCCCGCCUGCCACCGUCCCCACCACGCCCCAUCGUGAGCCACAGACCACUCCUCUCACUUCCGUCUUGGCUGGUUCUCACGCCCCUCUGGGAUUCUUAUUCCGGAGCUGAUGCAGAAAGAUCGGCCAUUCUUUGAAUUGUAUUUGGGCUUUUCACUGAAUGUGGAAGUCACGGUGAUCCAGUGGCCUCUCACCCCUUUGUGGACACAAGAAAACUGAGUCCGAGUAGAUCAGAUCGCCAGUCCUGGGGGCACGUGGCGGGGCAGUCUGGUUCUGAGGUCAAGCCUUUUUCUCCUGGGGACCAAGAGCACAUCUCUCACUGCCCUUUUUGAGUUGGCCACCAGGGAGCUCAGGGAGCCACAUCCUCCGACUCAGUUGCUUCUGGGAGUGACAGUCUCAUUUUCCCCUCGGUGGAGCAUUUUGGAGAGAGGGGCCGUCACCUGGUCGCUUAGAAUCACAUAAAAUAUUCCCUGGCGCACCCGGGAGUCCGGCCGCCGAGGCGUUUGGCAGGGAGCGCGCCCGGCGUGGUGACGGCUCUGGAACGGCGGCCCGUUUCCCUGCCUCGCCUGCCCUCCAGAGGGGCUCGCGGGCCUCCAGGGGGGGCUCAGCGGCUGAUCAGACACCUGGAAGCCAGAGGGACAGCGGGGGGAGGCUCAGCGCCAGAGGCUCAGCCAGGCGUGGAGACUGGCAGGUGAGGCCCGGGCUGCUGCCCAGGAUUCCAGGCAGGGAAAGCCGGCCCCUCGCAGUCCAGCUGGUGCCCCGGCUCUCCCGAUGUCCAUCGUCCACAUCUGGAGUUGUCCUUAAACACUUCCUGGUGGCUUUGGAAAGUGGAGUCAGUGUCCUGCCUGCUUCUCCAGCCGUGUCGUGGGCGGUGAGGGAGGCCUGAGCCCCGGUGACAGAUGCAGCCGGGGGGAGGUUCCCGGCUCUCACCGUCUGUCUGUCAUUUCACCACGUGGAGCUGGGACGCGCCCAUCUCCAGCCGAUGCCUCUGCGCAGGAAUCUCGCCUGCACCGUGGGUUGUGUGACCUGGGCGCACCUCCGGCUCUCCAUCUCUGACAUGGGGGACACCGUGGAGCCCAGCUCACAGGGUGCAUGUGACAUCCUGGGGUGACAAUGUAGCACAGUGCCUGGACUCUGUGAAUGACGGGCCAGCGCUAGCUCUAGAGGCUCACAGAGGACCAGAGAGGAGAGGAGCCCAACUGAGCGCCUCCCCGGGCGCCGUCCAGGAGCCUCGGGUGGAUGGGUGGAGGGGGCUCUGGCCACGCGGCCACCGCUCAGGCCUCCCACCUGGUGCCAAGUGGCUCCAAGAUCCGCGCCACUGCGAGCGUGGAGCACAGGCCUGCCCCGCCCUCUGGCCCGGGGAGGGUGGUGUCCCCAGGGGCCAGGGGUGCAGAGGGGGUUCGGAGGGGUGCCAGGCAGGAAGUGGCCCUGGCAAUAACGGUGGACCCAGAAGGGGGCCCUGGGGUCAGUUCAUUCGAUGGCUCAGCCACGGGGCAGGGGACCAGGCUGCCCUCCCACUGCAGCGGGCGGCUCUGGUCCUUGGCUGUGUGUCUCACGGUACCUCAAGAUGACCGCAGAACAGGGAAAGAGCCCGGCCCCACUGUCCCUCCCCAGGGCCACCUUCCCAGAAGCCCCGGCCGACUUUCCCCGGGUCUCAUUGGUUGGACCCGAAUCACAGGCCCCCUGUCUAAGCCCGUGACCCCCAGGGGAGACGGAGUCACCCAUGGGCUUAGAGCAGCGGUUCCCGCGUCCGCCCAGGCUGGCCGGAGCACCAUGCUGGAGCCCGACUCAGGUGGCCACCGUCCAUGUCAGUCAGCCCCCAGUGCCUCAGACGGACACCAGGCUGAGAACCUCUGGCGGGGACAUGAGGAGACCGCAUUGUGCUUUUGGCUUUUUUCUAUCCACUUAAAGGUGUAAGAGCUGAUCUUGAUUCCUAGGCCACAGGGAAGCAGGUGGGGUCAGAGCUGAGACCCCAAGUGGCCCCGCCUUGUCACGGCUGAUCAAGAGCAACCCUGGAACGGGGAGCUUCCCUGGACACACGGAGAGCCCCCAUCCCGCAGGAACCUGGGGUUUGAUUGACAAGAGGAGAGGCAGACCUGCCGGGUCCCCUGAGCUCCCCACGGAGGCCACAUCCAGCCCCCGGAGCCCGCUGACUCGAGGCCACAAGUCAAAGUCUCGCCCUGGCUUUAUUCCUCACGUAGAGUCUCCAUCUUUCACUGAAGAUCGCCUUCCUCGUCCUGAGAAGAACCCUGGGCCUGAUUUGUUCCCUCACCCCAGAGUCCAGCCCCAAUUCCCAGGUGGCAUCAGCGCACGACAAGGAGACUCUACGUGGUGGCCAAUGUGCCGUUUCACGUUUCCGGCAUGUUCUUUGUGCCUGAGACAAAAUUCCCUGCUGCGAUUUUACGGAUGGGGUGGCUGGUGACAGACCUCGCUUCCCUGAAUGUGUACGCCCAUGUGACAGGUGAAGACACCGAGGCACAGCGGGUCGCUACCAGGGUCGCCACUGGAGUGGCCAUCAAGCCCAGGCUGGGGCCCUGGCUGCCGAGUCCCCGGGCUCAAGAUUGGUGACCUCGAGAGACCCCGCGUGAAGGCGCAGACUGAGCAGGUUUGGAGGCCCCGGCUCUGCCCCUCCCCUGGCUCCCUGCCCACGGAUUCUUCUAAGUGUGGGGAGCUUUUGUGUCAUUUCUGUCGCUCUCCACCUGGUUACGCAGGAGCCACCUCUGAAUUCUAGAACCGAUACCGACCUCCCCCAAGGGGCAGCUGCCGUGUGGCGCUCCUCCCUCCGGCUCCCAGAGCACAGGCCUGGAGCUUCUGUGGAGGGGCAUGCGUCCCCCUCCCACCCUCACCUUGAAGCCCCCGCCCCGAGGUGACGGCACCAGGAGGGGGGCUUUGAGAGGCGGUGAGGUUUGGCUGGGGUCACGAGGGGCCCUCCGUGAUGGAAUCCGGGCGCCGUGGCGCACACCUGUGAUCACAGUAGCUCCGGAGGCUGAGGCAGGAGGAUUGCCAGCCUCAGCAACUGAGUGAGGCCCUAAGCAGCUCAGUGG